rnacentral:rRNA from 1 species
ACAUGCCUACAACAUAGUGUUAAUGCACUGGGUCCCAUUACAAAUCCAAAGUUAAGCAUGUUUGAGCUAGAGUAGUAUUGGGAUGGGUGACUGCUUGGGAAGUCGUAGUAUUUCAGUUC